GUCAGGCAAUCAUUACAACAUCCCAUGUAAUACAUAAUAAAAGGGGGAGGUAACAUAGUUGGCUUACACUCGCCACGUCACAUCAGAGUACAUAAAUAACAUCCAUCACACAAACACUCAUGGCCCGACUACGGCGCCAAAAUAGAAAAGACCCCCAACAUGCGACAAGGUCCUGAAUCGAUAACCCCAACCAGGCACCACUACUGAUCAUCGGGAAAGGAAACAUAAUAACGCUGAGAGUCCUCGUCGAACUCCCACUUGAGCUCGUACUCGUCACCUGGAGCGGAAUCACCUAGACCUGC
rnacentral:rRNA from 1 species